UCCAAUGUGGUAUAGUGGCUAACAUUGCUGUCUUUCAUCGCUUGAAUUUCACAGCAGCCCGGGGUUCGAUUCCCCGCACUGGAA